rnacentral:lncRNA from 1 species
GCAUGUCUUCGCCUCCCGGCUUUUGUCCUACCACUACUUCUGCUCUUUGCCUUCUCACUUAUGAGCACCAAAACAAUGGUUGCAGGGGCUCGCUUUCUUCUCGAGACUUCCUUGCCUCAAGUGCCCGAGCUUCCAAAGCCUGAGCUGCCACAAUUGCCCAAGCCUGAGCUUCCACAUUUGCCAAAGCCUGAGCUGCCACAAGUGCCUAAGCCUGAGCUUCCACAACUUCCUAAGCCUGAGCUUCCACAGUUGCCAAAGCCCGAGCUGCCACCGCUUCCUAAGCCUGAGCUACCGCAGUUUCCAAAGCCUGAGCUACCGCAGUUUCCAAAGCCUGAGCUGCCACCAUUGGCUAAACCCGAAAUACCAUCAGCACCUCAUGUCCCAACUUUGCCAAAGGAAGGCCAUAAGUUGGCUGAAAUACCACAUGCCCCAACCUUGCAUGAGUUACCUCAACUUCCAAAGCCUGAAUUGCCACCAC